AUGCACACUGGUGUCUGCCAGCUCAUUUCAGUCAAUCCAGGGCAGCGGCACUGCUUGGCGGCUCCUUGGCCUGCCUUUGUCCGGGUUUUCCAGGACCUGCCACCACAGGUUCCCUCUAAUGUGUGUGUUUGCUGCUGCUGCUGCUGUGACAGCCAAGAGGUGGUCUGUGCCAAGUGGCAACCUCUCUGCCCUUCUUGGUGACAUGAUCUUAAAGGGGAACAACAGCUCUUUAAGAUCUGGGUGAGCCAGCGCACCCUCCCUCCUGAGAGCACACGUGUUCUUCCCCCUCCCCCUACUUCCCCCACAGGCAUGCAUCUUCUAAACACUAAGGAGGCUUGCAACAAGGGCAGCAGUGGGCAGCGGCAGUUCAUCCCAGAAGCCAUAGGCCAAGUGGACCCCAUGCCCAAUGGACUGGUGGAUUACAGCUGGGAACACAAGCUAGCCUGAUGCUGGACUGGAAUGUGCAAACAUGGAACAGAAACUGUGGGCAAGGGCUUUAACCCAGCUCUGCUAAGGACACACAGCUGGACUUCUUUGCUGGCUGGACGGAGGGAGAGGGGACCUCAGAAACUCAGAAGUGGGAAAUCAAGAGAAGGCUGAGCAGGGAGCAGGACAAGGAAGGACAGCUUCUCGGAGCCCAGGAGGUGCCACCCUGUGCCUCCGUGAGAGCGGUCGUGGAUUGAACUCCAAGAGCAGACAGGCCCACAACGCAAAACUGUCCAUUUGUGACAACAAAUGAGAAAACGUCUGUGUGCCCGUGUGUGGGUGCCUGUGUGUUGACACGUGACUACCUGGUCAACCGUCUCAAAAUGAAAAAAGAUUUAUGCCUUACGUUGUCCGCACCAUCGUUGGGACCCAGCCCAGCAAUUCGUGGAACUUCGAUUGUCACAUUAUACCUCCUUGUCACUCCUUCCACCAGAUUCUGUCCCCUUCUCUCCGCGCACCCAGCACGCUCUCACACACACACACACACACACACACACACACACACACAC